CUAGUACUCCCUCUGUCCGGAAUUACUUGUCGCAGAAAUGAAUAAAAGUGGAUGUAUCUAGAAUUAAAAUACGUCUAGAUGCAUCCAUUUCUAUAACAAGUAUUUCCGGAGGGAGGGAGUACUAA
rnacentral:pre_miRNA from 1 species